rnacentral:rRNA from 1 species
CAAUAGCGUAUAUUAAAGUUGUUGCAGUUAAAAAGCUCGUAGUUGGAUUUCUGGUUUGAUGCCCUGGCCCGCGGUCAACUGAUCGUGUGUGCCGGUUGUGCGUCUGCCAUCCUUCUAGAGAACGUUCCUACCCUUAAUUGGGCCGGGUUCGAGAUCUAGAUCUUUUACUUUGAAAAAUUAGAGUGUUUAAAGCAGGCAUUUGCUAUGAAUACAUUAGCAUGGAAUAAUAAUCUAGGACUUCGGUUCUAUUUUGUUGGUUUCUAGUACUGAAGUAAUGAUUGAUAGGGAUAGUUGGGGGUGGCUAGUAUUGAGCGGCCAGAGGUGAAAUUCUUGGAUUCGCUCAAGACUAACUUAUGCGAAAGCAUUCACCAAGGAUGUCUUCUUUAAUCAAGAACGAAAGUUGGGGGAUCAAAGACGAUCAGAUACCGU